UAAUACUGCUGAAUGGAGAGGAGACAGAGGUCCCAUCAUGUUAUAAUACUGCUGAAUGGAGAGGAGACAGAGGUCCCAUCAUGUUAUAAUACUGCUGAAUGGAGAGGAGACAGAGGUCCCAUCAUGUUAUAAUACUGCUGGAGAGGAGACAGAGGUACCAUCAUGUUAUAAUACUGCUGAAUGGAGAGGAGGCAGAGGUCCCAUCAUGUUAUAAUACUGCUGAAUGGAGAGGAGGCAGAGGUCCCAUCAUGUUAUAAUACUGCUGAAUGGAGAGGAGACAGAGGUCCCAUCAUGUUAUAAUACUGCUGAGUGGAGAGGAGACAGAGGUACCAUCAUGUUAUAAUACUGCUGAAUGGAGAGGAGACAGAGGUCCCAUCAUGUUAUAAUACUGCUGAAUGGAGAGGAGACAGAGGUCCCAUCAUGUUAUAAUACUGCUGAAUGGAGAGGAGACAGAGGUCCCAUCAUGUUAUAAUACUGCUGAAUGGAGAGGAGACAGAGGUCCCAUCAUGUUAUAAUACUGCUGAAUGGAGAGGAGACAGAGGUACCAUCAUGUUAUAAUACUGCUGAAUGGAGAGGAGACAGAGGUACCAUCAUGUUAUAAUACUGCUGAAUGGAGAGGAGACAGAGGUCCCAUCAUGUUAUAAUACUGCUGGAGAGGAGACAGAGGUCCCAUCAUGUUAUAAUACUGCUGAAUGGAGAGGAGACAGAGGUCCCAUCAUGUUAUAAUACUGCUGAAUGGAGAGGAGACAGAGGUCCCAUCAUGUUAUAAUACUGCUGAAUGGAGAGGAGACAGAGGUCCCAUCAUGUUAUAAUACUGCUGAAUGGAGAGGAGACAGAGGUACCAUCAUGUUAUAAUACUGCUGAAUGGAGAGGAGACAGAGGUCCCAUCAUGUUAUAAUACUGCUGAAUGGAGAGGAGACAGAGGUCCCAUCAUGUUAUAAUACUGCUGAAUGGAGAGGAGACAGAGGUACCAUCAUGUUAUAAUACUGCUGAAUGGAGAGGAGACAGAGGUCCCAUCAUGUUAUAAUACUGCUGAAUGGAGAGGAGACAGAGGUCCCAUCAUGUUAUAAUACUGCUGAAUGGAGAGGAGACAGAGGUCCCAUCAUGUUAUAAUACUGCUGAAUGGAGAGGAGACAGAGGUCCCAUCAUGUUAUAAUACUGCUGAAUGGAGAGGAGACAGAGGUCCCAUCAUGUUAUAAUACUGCUGAAUGGAGAGGAGGCAGAGGUCCCAUCAUGUUAUAAUACUGCUGGAGAGGAGACAGAGGUCCCAUCAUGUUAUAAUACUGCUGAAUGGAGAGGAGACAGAGGUCCCAUCAUGUUAUAAUACUGCUGAAUGGAGAGGAGACAGAGGUCCCAUCAUGUUAUAAUACUGCUGAAUGGAGAGGAGACAGAGGUCCCAUCAUGUUAUAAUACUGCUGAAUGGAGAGGAGACAGAGGUCCCAUCAUGUUAUAACACUGCUGAAUGGAGAGGAGACAGAGGUACCAUCAUGUUAUAAUACUGCUGAAUGGAGAGGAGACAGAGGUCCCAUCAUGUUAUAAUACUGCUGAGUGGAGAGGAGACAGAGGUCCCAUCAUGUUAUAAUACUGCUGAAUGGAGAGGAGACAGAGGUCCCAUCAUGUUAUAAUACUGCUGGAGAGGAGACAGAGGUCCCAUCAUGUUAUAAUACUGCUGAAUGGAGAGGAGACAGAGGUCCCAUCAUGUUAUAAUACUGCUGAAUGGAGAGGAGGCAGAGGUCCCAUCAUGUUAUAAUACUGCUGGAGAGGAGACAGAGGUCCCAUCAUGUUAUAAUACUGCUGAAUGGAGAGGAGACAGAGGUCCCAUCAUGUUAUAAUACUGCUGGAGAGGAGACAGAGGUCCCAUCAUGUUAUAAUACUGCUGAAUGGAGAGGAGACAGAGGUACCAUCAUGUUAUAAUACUGCUGAAUGGAGAGGAGACAGAGGUCCCAUCAUGUUAUAAUACUGCUGGAGAGGAGACAGAGGUCCCAUCAUGUUAUAAUACUGCUGAAUGGAGAGGAGACAGAGGUCCCAUCAUGUUAUAAUACUGCUGAAUGGAGAGGAGACAGAGGUCCCAUCAUGUUAUAAUACUGCUGAAUGGAGAGGAGACAGAGGUCCCAUCAUGUUAUAAUACUGCUGAGUGGAGAGGAGACAGAGGUCCCAUCAUGUUAUAAUACUGCUGAAUGGAGAGGAGACAGAGGUACCAUCAUGUUAUAAUACUGCUGAAUGGAGAGGAGACAGAGGUCCCAUCAUGUUAUAAUACUGCUGAAUGGAGAGGAGACAGAGGUCCCAUCAUGUUAUAAUACUGCUGAAUGGAGAGGAGACAGAGGUCCCAUCAUGUUAUAAUACUGCUGGAGAGGAGACAGAGGUCCCAUCAUGUUAUAAUACUGCUGAAUGGAGAGGAGACAGAGGUCCCAUCAUGUUAUAAUACUGCUGAAUGGAGAGGAGACAGAGGUCCCAUCAUGUUAUAAUACUGCUGAAUGGAGAGGAGACAGAGGUCCCAUCAUGUUAUAAUACUGCUGAAUGGAGAGGAGACAGAGGUCCCAUCAUGUUAUAAUACUGCUGAAUGGAGAGGAGACAGAGGUCCCAUCAUGUUAUAAUACUGCUGAAUGGAGAGGAGACAGAGGUCCCAUCAUGUUAUAAUACUGCUGAAUGGAGAGGAGACAGAGGUCCCAUCAUGUUAUAAUACUGCUGGAGAGGAGACAGAGGUCCCAUCAUGUUAUAAUACUGCUGGAGAGGAGACAGAGGUCCCAUCAUGUUAUAAUACUGCUGAAUGGAGAGGAGACAGAGGUCCCAUCAUGUUAUAAUACUGCUGAAUGGAGAGGAGACAGAGGUCCCAUCAUGUUAUAAUACUGCUGAAUGGAGAGGAGACAGAGGUCCCAUCAUGUUAUAAUACUGCUGAAUGGAGAGGAGACAGAGGUCCCAUCAUGUUAUAAUACUGCUGGAGAGGAGACAGAGGUACCAUCAUGUUAUAAUACUGCUGAAUGGAGAGGAGACAGAGGUCCCAUCAUGUUAUAAUACUGCUGGAGAGGAGACAGAGGUCCCAUCAUGUUAUAAUACUGCUGAAUGGAGAGGAGACAGAGGUCCCAUCAUGUUAUAAUACUGCUGAAUGGAGAGGAGACAGAGGUCCCAUCAUGUUAUAAUACUGCUGAAUGGAGAGGAGACAGAGGUCCCAUCAUGUUAUAAUACUGCUGGAGAGGAGACAGAGGUCCCAUCAUGUUAUAAUACUGCUGAAUGGAGAGGAGACAGAGGUACCAUCAUGUUAUAAUACUGCUGAAUGGAGAGGAGACAGAGGUCCCAUCAUGUUAUAAUACUGCUGGAGAGGAGACAGAGGUCCCAUCAUGUUAUAAUACUGCUGAAUGGAGAGGAGACAGAGGUCCCAUCAUGUUAUAAUACUGCUGGAGAGGAGACAGAGGUCCCAUCAUGUUAUAAUACUGCUGAAUGGAGAGGAGACAGAGGUCCCAUCAUGUUAUAAUACUGCUGAAUGGAGAGGAGACAGAGGUCCCAUCAUGUUAUAAUACUGCUGAAUGGAGAGGAGACAGAGGUCCCAUCAUGUUAUAAUACUGCUGAAUGGAGAGGAGACAGAGGUCCCAGUCUAUAGUAGUGCACUACCCUUCUCCAGGCUGUCUAAAGUAGUGCACUACCCUUCUCCAGGCUGCCUAAAGUAGUGCACUACCCUUCUCCAGGCUGUCUAAAGUAGUGCACUACCCUUCUCCAGGCUGUCUAAAGUAGUGCACUACCCUUCUCCAGGCUGUCUAAAGUAGUGCACUACCCUUCUCCAGGCUGUCUAAAGUAGUGCACUACCCUUCUCCAGGCUGUCUAAAGUAGUGCACUACCCUUCUCCAGUAGUGCACUACCCUUCUCCAGGCUGUCUAAAGUAGUGCACUACCCUUCUCCAGGCUGUCUAAAGUAGUGCACUACCCUUCUCCAGGCUGCCUAAAGUAGUGCACUACCCUUCUCCAGGCUGUCUAAAGUAGUGCACUACCCUUCUCCAGGCUGUCUAAAGUAGAACACUACCCUUCUCCAGGCUGUCUAAAGUAGUGCACUACCCUUCUCCAGGCUGUCUAAAGUAGUGCACUACCCUUCUCCAGGCUGUCUAAAGUAGUGCACUACCCUUCUCCAGGCUGCCUAAAGUAGUGCACUACCCUUCUCCAGGCUGUCUAAAGUAGUGCACUACCCUUCUCCAGGCUGUCUAAAGUAGUGCACUACCCUUCUCCAGGCUGCCUAAAGUAGUACACUACCCUUCUCCAGGCUGUCUAAAGUAGUGCACUACCCUUCUCCAGGCUGCCUAAAGUAGUUCACUACCCUUCUCCAGGCUGCCUAAAGUAGUGCACUACCCUUCUCCAGGCUGACUAAAGUAGUGCACUACCCUUCUCCAGGCUGUCUAAAGUAGUGCACUACCCUUCUCCACGCUGUCUAAAGUAGAGCACUACCCUUCUCCAGGCUGUCUAAAGUAGUGCACUACCCUUCUCCAGGCUGUCUAAAGUAGUGCACUACCCUUCUCCAGGCUGUCUAAAGUAGUGCACUAUAGAGGGAAUAGAACAGAUGUGUUUUUAUGUUCUGGUUUAAUUCAUCUUAUUGUGAAGCCAAAGUGAAUUCUUCAUUGUGUUGUCAAUAAAGUUAUAUUCUUCUUCUU